rnacentral:rRNA from 1 species
AUUGAACGCUGGCGGCAGGCUUAACACAUGCAAGUCGAGCGGGGUGAUGGUGCUUGCACUAUCACUUAGCGGCGGACGGGUGAGUAAUGCUUAGGAAUCUGCCUAUUAGUGGGGGACAACAUUUCGAAAGGAAUGCUAAUACCGCAUACGUCCUACGGGAGAAAGCAGGGGAUCUCCGGACCUUGCGCUAAUAGAUGAGCCUAAGUCGGAUUAGCUAGUUGGUGGGGUAAAGGCCUACCAAGGCGACGAUCUGUAGCGGGUCUGAGAGGAUGAUCCGCCACACUGGGACUGAGACACGGCCCAGACUCCUACGGGAGGCAGCAGUGGGGAAUAUUGGACAAUGGGCGGAAGCCUGAUCCAGCCAUGCCGCGUGUGUGAAGAAGGCCUUUUGGUUGUAAAGCACUUUAAGCGAGGAGGAGGCUACUAGUACUAAUACUACUGGAUAGUGGACGUUACUCGCAGAAUAAGCACCGGCUAACUCUGUGCCAGCAGCCGCCGCGGUAA